UACGAAGGGUGCAAACGUUGCUCGGAAUUAUUGGGCGUAAAGGGCUCGUAGGCGGCCAACUAAGUCGGAUGUGAAAUCCCCAAGCUUAACUUGGGAACUGCAUCCGAUACUGGAUGGCUUGAAUCCGGGAGAGGGAUGCAGAAUUCCAGGGUGUAGCGGUGAAAUGCGUAGAUAUCUGGAGGAAUACCGGUGGCGAAGGCGGCAUCCUGGACCGGCAUUGACGCUGAGGAGCGAAAGCUAGGGGAGCAAACGGGGAGUUAA
rnacentral:rRNA from 1 species